GACGAACGCUGGCGGCGUGCUUAACACAUGCAAGUCGAACGAUGAUGCUCCAGCUUGCUGGGGUGGAUUAGUGGCGAACGGGUGAGUAACACGUGGGUGAUCUGCCCUGCACUUCGGGAUAAGCCUGGGAAACUGGGUCUAAUACCGGAUAUGACCCUCCUUUAGUGUGGGGGUGGAAAGCUUUAGCGGUGUGGGAUGAGCCUGCGGCCUAUCAGCUUGUUGGUGGGGUAAUGGCCUACCAAGGCGUCGACGGGUAGCCGGCCUGAGAGGGUGAUCGGCCACAUUGGGACUGAGACACGGCCCAG
rnacentral:rRNA from 1 species